rnacentral:rRNA from 1 species
AUCUACAGCCAUACGACCCUGAAUGCACCCAGUCUUCUCUGAUCUCGGAAACUAAGCAGGGUCAGGCCUGGUUAGUACCUGGAUGGGAGAAAGCAUCAUAUGAAUAAAUGAUAAGUGUUUUAAAAA